AUUGAACGCUGGCGGCAGGCCUAACACAUGCAAGUCGAACGAGUGGCGGACGGGUGAGUAAUGUCUGGGAAACUGCCCGCUGGAGGGGGAUAACUACUGGAAACGGUAGCUUAUACCGCAUACCAUCGGAUGUGCCCAGAUGGGAUUAGCUAGUAGGUGGGGUAAUGGCUCACCUAGGCGACGAUCCCUAGCUGGUCUGAGAGGAUGACCAUCCACAAUGGGACUGAGACACGGGACAGAGUCCGACUAAGUUCAACAGGCAAAAAUAUUGCACAAUGGGCGCAAGCCUGAUCCAGCCAUGCCGCGUGUAUGAAGAGGGCCUAAGGGUUGUAAAGUACUUUCAGCGAGGAGGGGUUACUCGCAGAAGAAGCACCGGCUAAGUCCGUGCCAGCAGCCGCGGUAAUAC
rnacentral:rRNA from 1 species